UACAAGCUACUGCUCAGUGAGAAUCAUUCCACUGUCAAAAUCUGCACCCACAAUGAAGUGGACGCCAAACUGCUAUCCCUGUUGAAACUACCUGUGAAGAACCCUCAAGAUUUUUAUUCUCUAGAGGACAUUGUGGCCAAUGGGCAGAGCCUGGAUGGAAAAAUCAUUAACGUUCUUGCGGCUAUUAAGUCAGUUGGUGAACCAAAAUACUUCACAACUUCAGACAGACGGAAAGGCCACAGAUGUGAAGUAAGACUGUUUGAUGAAACGGAGUCUUCCUUUGCAAUGAUAUGCUGGGAUAACGAAUCCAUCCAGCUUGCACAGAGCUGGGUGCCUCGUGAAACAGG